GCAGAAGUGCCGAGUCCCGGCCGGGGGCAGCCUCGCCGCCGCUCAGCUCGGGAAUCCCUGCCCCCCACCAGCACCUCAGUGGGGGAUACUGCAAGUUCAAGGUGGUUUAAGGCGUGAAUGAAUGAAGGAGCAAGCAGUAAGCCCCGACAGCAAGGCCACCACAGCCCUCGCCCCACAGGGACGCCUGAGCAAGGACCCAAGCAGGGGACAAGCAGGCUCACCCCGCCCUUGCGGGGCUGACCACGAGGCCCCGUCCGGUGGAACACGCCAUGACGCUUCAGGAGGCUCAUGUAGCUGGCGCCGUAUGGGACAGCGGGGGAGAGAGAAAAUGCACAGCCCAGGGAAUGUGGAGACAGGCCCAGCGCCAGGCAUGGGGGCCGGAAGGAGCAGCCGGGGAGCAGGGGGCAGGGCCUGGAGUCCCGCCUUGCAGAUCUGAACCUGCCCCAGCCCCAGGACUCUGAGUGCAGCAAGAGGGGAGCCGGGCUGGAGAGUGGGGAGCACGGAGACUGUGGCCUGGAUGGUGCCAGAGCAAACAGGAGAGAGGCUGCCCAACGCAGAGGCUGCAGCACAGACCAGAGGGUCCCGGGGCUGACUGGGUGGGGGCAGCUCCCAGCGAGAGGCCCCUGGGAUUUGGGUAAGUAGAGGCACAUGCAGACUCUGGCCACAGGGCACCUCGCGCACGAGGGGAGUUCACCACACAAGCUGAGCGGAGGGCGGACGCAGGAGAGCAGCGGUUUCUCGGAAGCCAAGGGCGGUCAUGGAGCCCCACGCCACAGCGCUUCCCACGGGGCCACACCAUCCGGUCUGCGGAGGGGGCUGCAUUGCCGGGAAGGACCAUCUGAUUCUGGAUUCCAGCCUCACCCUGGGCCACCGCUGAGUGUCCCAAGUGGCCCCUUAGCCCCCAGGGCCAGGCGGCAUCCCAAUCCCCUAGGGAUGUCUGUGCUCAGAAUGUGGCACACACGCCCCGGCAGGGCCAUCCUCCUCCUCCUGCACCCGCCACAGCCGUGGAUUCGGGGUCUCUAUCGUGGGCAGAAAUUCACACAGUCAAGGACGGGCUGAGGGAGGCGCCUCACCAGUGCCAGCGCCCAGCAUCACUGUGCCCCGGUGGAGGGGGAGGCCCUUCCGAGCCUGGGCCUGGGUGUGGAUGAGGGCAGGUCUCUCACCUCUCUGACCUCAGCUUCCUCAACUGGGAAGGGGGGCCACAGCACCCCCUUAGGGGUGAUGAGGAAGUGGGAGCUCAGGGAGGACCCCGGGCAGGGCUGCCUCCUCACCUCUCUUCGGCCUUUGGACACUGGAGCUCAGAGGACCAAGUGAAUGAAUGAAUGACUCGAUCAAUCAACUGAUCCAUGAAUCCAUGGACCCCUGAACAGCUGGACAGCUGGGCUGUGGGCAGGACAGGGGACUCUGGCUGAAGCCGCGUUCAUAUGUGUUCAGCUUUAGGCCUCCACUGUGCCCGGACCAGCGGCCCACUCAGUGAGUCGAGUGUGCACCUGGCACCCCUCUUUCUGGAAAUCCACGAACAAUGGGCUCCCAGCAGAGGACUGAGGCUGAGCAGGCCACUUCCCUGGAGCUGACCCCACAGCUGUGUAGGUACAGGGUGGCCGUGAACACUUAGGGCUCUCUCGGGCUGUGCGCUUCUUGUUCACUGCAAGGAGCAGGGUGUUGGCUCCUGACCAAGCCCUGUCACUGCUGCCCAGCCACACGUGGGGCCCCUUCACCCACCCCUGACCACCUCAUGCAGGUGAAGCCACUGUGGAAACAGCCUGGCAGUCCCUUGAAAAAUGAAGUCAUAAACCCCAGCAAUUGCACUCCUGGGCCUCUGACAGAGCUUGCACGUCCCCUCCAAAGCUCGUGUUAAGCUGUGAGCCCCAGUGCCGGAGGUGGGGCCUGGUGUGUUUGGGUUCUGGGGGUGGAUCCCUCAUGGCUGGGUGCCAUGAACCCACUCACCACAGUGAGUUCUCACGAGAUCUGGUUGUUGAGAAGUGUGUCAUACCUCCCCCACAACUCUCUGUCUUUUGUUCCGGCUCUGGCAAUGUAACAAGCCUGCUCCUCCUUCGCCUUCUGCCAUGACUGUAAGCUUUCUGAGGGCUGACCAGAAGCCCAGCAGAUGCCAGCACCAUGCUUCCUAUACAGCCUGCAGAACCGUGAGCCAGCUAAACCUCUCCUCAUAAAUCACCGAGCCCCAGGUUUAUCUUUACAGCAAUGCAAGACCUGACUAAUACAGCACCAGCUCCCCAAAAUAAAAAGAAAUAUUCAAACAAAUAAGCGCACAGAAGUGUUCCCAGCAGCACUAUUCACAGCAGCCAAAAGGCGGAGGAGCCACAGGCUUGUCAGCUGAUGACAGAUAAAGAAAGCAUGGCCUGUCAUCCCAGCACUUUGGGAGGCCGAGGUGGGUGGAUCACCUGAGGUUGGGAGUUCAAGACCAGCCUGGCCAACAUGGUGAAACCCAGUCUCUACUAAAAAUAUAAAAAUUAGCUGGGUGUGAUGAUGAGCGCCUGUAGUCCCAGCUACUUGGAAGGCUGAGGAACAAGAAUCGCUUGAACCCGGGAGGCAGAGGUCGCAGUGAACCGAGAUCAU
rnacentral:lncRNA from 1 species